rnacentral:rRNA from 1 species
UACGGAGGGGGCUAGCGUUAUUCGGAAUUACUGGGCGUAAAGCGCACGUAGGCGGAUUAGAAAGUCAGAGGUGAAAUCCCAGGGCUCAACCUUGGAACUGCCUUUGAAACUUCUAGUCUUGAGUUCGAGAGAGGUAAGUGGAAUUCCGAGUGUAGAGGUGAAAUUCGUAGAUAUUCGGAGGAACACCAGUGGCGAAGGCGGCUUACUGGCUCGAUACUGACGCUGAGGUGCGAAAGCGUGGGGAGCAAAC